rnacentral:lncRNA from 1 species
ACAUCUAGAUUUAUUAAUAUAUAAUAUGUUCUUACUAAUUUUUACAUACUAUAAGCAUUUACAGAACGACAACGGAACAACUUGAAAUGGAAUCAAAGCCUCUGUAUUCGGGACCUCAUUGGAUUGCCCAACCAAGUCAAGUCUCAUACUGGAUAAGAGGCCCAUACCAAGAUUUGGAUUGGAUGUCCCUAUAAUUAGGUCAAAUUGGCUCUUUACAUUAGACUCACCUGAAUAUUGAAUUGGUUCUUUUUCCUUUUUUCGACUCCUAGUCAGAAUGGUUCAGACUCAUCCCUCUCUUGAUGUAUUGGAGAUUCUUGAGGACCUUGAUUUAUCUCCUCAAUUUUUCCUUG